rnacentral:lncRNA from 1 species
UCUCACGAGGGAUUUCUCCAGUCUGCAUGUCUUCAGUGUCAUUUAUCUCUUCUGCUGGGACAUUAACCGCUGAUAUACUAUCUUCCGCUUCAACAGGUUCAGUAUUCUUGAUCUCUUCUAGUGCUGUUUCCUGUGUUGUUGGUAUAUCGACUUGUACAUCAGGAGCUAUCUUGUCCGCAAGACCAACAUCUUCAGUGAGCUCGCUGAUGUUUGCAUCAGUGCUCUUCUUGACUGCUUCAAUUUCCAUGGUUCCAGUGCCCUUCACUUCUUCUGCUGGUAGGUCAGGUGCUGAUUUGUUUUCUUCCAUCUCAACAGGUUCAGCAUUCUCGAGCUCUUGUAGUUCUGACACUUGUGCUUCUGGUAUAUCAUCUGUUGCCUCAGCUGCCAUUACAUGUUCUUCAGGAGCUGCCUCAUCUGCAUGAGCAACAUUGCCUCUUACAUCCUCGGUGAGCUCACUGAUGUUUACAUCAGCGAUCUCGUUGAUUGCUUCAGUUUUCUUGGCUUCAGUCUCCUUCACCUCUUCUGCCGACAGCUCAUUUGCUGAUAUGUUUUCUUCCACUUCAAUAGGUUCAGUAUUCUUGAUUUCUUCUAGGUCUAGCUCUUGUGCUCGUGGGAUAUCAACUGGUGCCUCAGUUGCUAUUACAUGCUCUUCAGGAGCAGCCUCAUCUGCAGGAGCAACAUUGCUUGUCACAUCCUCAGUGAGUUCGCUGAUGUUUGCAUCAGGGCUCUUGUUGAUUGCUUCAGUUUCCUUCACCACUUCUGCUUGCAGGCCACUUGCUGAUCUAUUUUCUUCCACCUCAACUGGUUCAACACUCUUGAUCUCUUCUAGUUCCGGCUCCUGUGCCUGUGGUAUAUCAAAUGUUGUCUCAGCUACUGUUACAUGCUCUGCAUGAGGUUCCUCGUCUGCAGGCACAACGUUGCUUUUCACAUCCUCAUUGAGCUCACUGAUGUUUGCAUCAGUCCUUUUGCUGAUUGCUUCAGUUUCCUUCACCUCUUCUUCUGGCAGGUCACCUGCUUCAGUAUUCUUGAUCUCUUCUAGCUCUGGCUCUUGUGCAUGUGGUAUAUCGACUGUUGUCUCAGCUACUGUUACAUGUUCUUUAUGAGCUGCCUCAUCUGUAAGAGCAAUGUUGCAUUUCAUAUCUUCAGUAAGCUCACUGAUGUUUGCAUCAGUGCUCUCAUUGAUUGCUUCAGUGUCCUUCACCUCUUCUGCCGGUAUGUCACUCGCUGAUGUGUUUUCUUCCACCUCAACAGGUUCAGUAUUCUCGAUCUCUUCUAGUUCUGGUUCUUGUGCUCGUGGAAUAUUAACUGUUCCCUCAGUUGCUAUUAUAUGCUCUUCAUGAGCUGCCUCGUCUGCAGGAUUGACACUGCUUGUCACAUCCUCAAUGAGCUCGCUGAUGUUUGCAUCAAUGCUCUCGUUGAUUGCUUCAGUUUCCUUCACCUCUUCUGCUGGCAAGUUACCUGCUGAUCUGUUCUCCUCCACCUCAACAGGUUCAACAUUCUCAAGAUCCUUUAGUUCCGGCGCUUGUGCUUGUGGUAUAUCAACCGUUGCCUCAGCUGCUAUUACAUGUUCUUCAGGAGCUGCCUCUUCUGCAGGAGUAACAUUGCUUUUCAUAUCCUCAGUGAGCUCACUAAUGCUUGCAUCAGUGCUCUCAUUGAUUGCUUCAGUGUCCUUCACCUUUUCUGCUGGCAGGUCACUUGCUGGUAUGUUUUCUUCCACCUUAACAGGUCUAGUAUUCUGGAUCUCUUCUACUUCUGGCUCUUGUGCUUGUGGUAUAUCGACUGUAUUAUCAGCUACCGUUACAUGUUCUUCAGGAGCUGCCUCGUCUGCAAGAGCAACAUUGCUUUUCACAUCUUCAGUAAGCUCAUUGUUGUUUGCAUCAGUGCUCUCGUUGAUUGCUUCAGUCUCCACGGCUUCACUAUCUUUCACCUCUUCUGCUGGCAGAUCAUUUUCUGAUACAUAUGCUUCCACUUCAGCAGGUUCAGUGUUCUUGGUCUCUUCUAGUUCUGGCUCUUGUGUUCGUGGUAUAUCAACUGUUGCGGCAGUUGCUAUUACAUGUUCUUCAGGAGCUGCCUCGUCUGCACACACGAGAUUGCUUUUCACAUCCUCAGUAAGCUUACUGAUGUUUGCAUCAAUGCUCUCGUUGAAUGCUUCAGUUUCCUUGGCUUCAGUGUCCUUCAUCUCUUCUGCCGGCAUGUCACUAGCUGAUAUGUUUUCUUUCACUUCAACAGGUUCAAUAUUCUUGAUCUCUUCUAGUUCCGGCUCUUGUGCUUGUGCUAUAUCAACUGUUGCCUCAGUUGCUAUUACAUGUUCUUCAGGAGCAGCCUCGUCUGCAAGAGCAACGUUACUUUCCACAUCCUCAGCGAUCUCACUGAAGUUUGCAUCAGUGCUCCCAUUGGUUGCUUCAGUUUCCUUGGCUUCAUUGCCGUUCACCUCUUCUGCCGGCAGGUCACUCGCUGAUAUGUUUUCUUCCACCUCAACAGGUUCAGUAUUCUUGAUCUCUUCUACUUCUGGCUCUUGUGCAUGUGGUAUAUCAACUGUAUCAUCAGCUACUGUUACAUGUUCUUCAGGAGCUGCUUCGUCUGCAAGAGCAACAAUGUUUUUCACAUCUUCAGUGAGCUCACUGUUGUUUGUGUUAGUGCUCUCGUUGAUUGUUUCAGUCUCCAUGGCUUCAGUAUCCUUCACCUCUUCUGCUGGCAGAUCAUUUGCUGAUAUGUUUUCUGCCACUUCAGCAGGUUCAGUAUUCUUGGUCUCUUCUAGUUCUGGCUCUUGUGCUUCUGGUAUAUCAACUGUUGCCUCAGGUGCCAUUACAUGCUCUUCAGGAGCUACCUCCUCUGUAAGGGCAACAUUGUUUUGCACAUCUUCAAUGAGAUCGCUAAUGUUUGCGUCACUGCUCUCAUUGUUUGCUUCAGUUUCCCCCAUCUCUUCUGCAGGCAGGUCGCUUGCUGAUCUAGUUUCUUCCACCUCAACAGGUUCAGUAUUCUUGACCUCUUCUAGUUUCGGCUCUUGUGCUUGUGGUACAUCAACUGUUCUCUCAGCUACUGUUACAUGUUCAUCAUGAGCUGCCUCGUCUGUAAGAGAAACAUUGCUUUGCACAUCUUCAGUGAGCUCACUGUUGUUUGCAUCAGUGCUGUCGUUGAUUGCUUCUGUUUCCACGGUGUCAGUAUCCUUCACAUUUUUCGCUGGCAGAUCACUUGCUGAUGUGUUCCCUUCCACUUCAGCAG